rnacentral:rRNA from 1 species
UCAGGCCUAACACAUGCAAGUCGAGCGAGGUACUUGUACCUAGCGGCAGACGGGUGCGUAACAUGUGGGAAUCUGCCUCUUGGUUCGGAACAACAUGGGGAAACCUGUGCUAAUACCGGAUAAGUCCUUACGGAGAAAGAUUUAUCGCCGAAAGAUGAGCCCGCACUAGAUUAGCUUGUUGGUAGGGUAAAAGCUUACCAAGGCUACGAUCUAUAGCUGAUUUGAGAGGAUGAUCAGCCACACUGGGACUGAGACACGGCCCAGACUCCUACGGGAGGCAGCAGUGGGGAAUCUUGCACAAUGGAGGAAACUCUGAUGCAGCGAUGCCGCGUGAGUGAAGAAGGCCCUUGGGUUGUAAAGCUCUUUUGUCGGGAAAGAUAAUGACUGUACCCGAAGAAUAAGGUCCGGCUAACUUCGUGCCAGCAGCCGCGGUAAUACGAAGGGACCUAGCGUAAUUCGGAAUUACUGGGCGUAAAGCGCGCGUAGGCGGUUAAGUAAGUUAAUUGUGAAAGCCCAAAGCUCAACUUUGGAAUUGCAAUUAAAACUAUUUAGCUAGAGUUUAUCAGAGGAAAGCGGAAUACAUAGUGUAGAGGUGAAAUUCGUAGAUAUUAUGUAGAACACCAGUUGCGAAGGCGGCUUUCUGGGAUAACACUGACGCUGAGGUGCGAAAGUAUGGGUAGCGAAGAGGAUUAGAUACCCU